rnacentral:rRNA from 1 species
AACGAACGCUGGCGGCAUGCCUAACACAUGCAAGUCGAACGAGACCUUCGGGUCUAGUGGCGCACGGGUGCGUAACGCGUGGGAACCUGCCCUUAGGUUCGGAAUAACUCCCCGAAAGGGGUGCUAAUACCGGAUAAUGUCUUCGGACCAAAGAUUUAUCGCCUUUGGAUGGGCCCGCGUUGGAUUAGCGAGUUGGUAGGGUAAAAGCCUACCAAGGAGACGAUCCAUAGCUGGUCUGAGAGGAUGAUCAGCCACACUGGGACUGAGACACGGCCCAGACUCCUACGGGAGGCAGCAGUGGGGAAUAUUGGACGAUGGGCGAAAGCCUGAUCCAGCAAUGCCGCGUGAGUGAUGAAGGCCUUAGGGUUGUAAAGCUCUUUUACCCGGGAUGAUAAUGACAGUACCGGGAGAAUAAGCUCCGGCUAACUCCGUG